rnacentral:rRNA from 1 species
CUGCGAGGUUAAGCGGGAGACGCGGAGCCGAAGCGAAAGCGAGUCUUAAGAGGGCUGUUAGUAGCAUGGAUUAGACCCGAAACCACAGUGAUCUAUGCAUGGCCAGGCUGAAACUCAGGUAAAAUUGAGCGGAGGGCCGAACCCGUGAGUGUUGAAAAACUGUGGGAUGAGCUGUGCAUAGGGGUGAAAUGCCAAUCGAACGUGGAGAUAGCUGGUUCUCCCCGAAAUAGCUUUAGGGCUAGCCUUAAGCGAAUAACCAUAAAGACGGUAGAGCACUGAUCGGGCAAGGGGGCGUAAAGCCUACCGACCCCAGUCAAACUACGAAUGGCUCAUAUGGGCAGCCUGGGAGUCAGAAUGCGAGUGAUAAGACCCGUAUUCAAGAGGGAAACAGCCCAGACCGCCGGCUAAGGUCCCAAAUGCUGUGCUAAGUGGAAAAGGAUGUAGGACUUCGAAAACAACCAGGAUGUUGGCUCAGAAGCAGCCACCAUUAAAAGAGUGCGUAAUAGCUCACUGGUCGAGAGGCCCUGCGCCGAAAAUAUCCGGGGCUCAAGCACAGAACCGAAGCCGCGGCAGGGUACGGAAACGUACACUGGGUAGGGGAGCGUUCUUACUUGGAAGAAGGCAGACCGGAAGGACUGCUGGACGGGUAAGAAGUGAGAAUGCCGGUAUGAGUAGCGAAACGACAGGUGAGAAUCCUGUCCACCGAAAGCCUAAGGGAUCCUGGGCAACGCUCGUCGCCCCAGGGUAAGUCGGGACCUAAGCCGAGGCGAAAAGCAUAGGCGAUGGACAACUGGCGAAAAUUCCAGUACCGGGCGUCUUCGUUUGAGGAUGGAGUGACGCAGGAAGGAAGCUGAGCGCGCGAAUGGUUGGGCGCGUCGAAGGCGGUAGGCUUGUAUGGAGGCAAAUCCCCAUACUAUAAGGCCGAGAACCGAUAGAUAGGAGAGACUACGGUCAAUCUGAAUUCAGCCGCACUACACUGCCAAGAAAAGCUUCUAACGAGAAGACGUCCGCCCGUACCAAAACCGACACAGGUAGGCGGGGAGAGAAUCCUAAGGUGCGCGGGAAAACCCUCGUUAAGGAACUCGGCAAAAUGCAUCCGUAACUUCGGGAAAAGGAUGGCCGCAGCUGGUGAAGACAUUCACUGUUGGAGCUGGAGGCGGCGGCAGAAAAGAGGCCCAAGCGACUGUUUACCACAAACACAGGUGCCUGCGAAAGCGCAAGCUGAAGUAUAGGUGCUGACGCCUGCCCGGUGCAGGAAGGUUAAGGAGAGUUGUUAGUCCUAGAGAUGAAGCAGCGAACUGAAGCCCCUGUAAACGGCGGCCGUAACUAUAACGGUCCUAAGGUAGCGAAAUUCCUUGUCGGGU